AAACUUGCUUUCUUGCUGACGAGCGGCGGACGGGUGAUAAUGUAUGGGGAUCUGCCCGAUAAAGGGGGAUAACUACUGGAAACGGUGGCUAAUACCGCAAAAUGUCUACGGACCAAAGCAGGGGCUCUUCGGACCUUGCCCUAUCGGAUGAACCCAUAUGGGAUUAUCUAGUAAGUGGGGUAAAGGCUCACCUACGCGACAAUCUCUAGCUGGUCUGACAAGAUGAUCAGCCACUCUGGGACUGAGACACGGCCCAAACUCCUACAGGAGGCAGCAAUGGGGAAUAUUGCACAAUGGGCGCAAGCCUGAUGCACCCAUGCCGCGUGUAUGAAUAAGGCCUUAAGGUUGUAAAGUACUUUCACCGGGGAGGAAGGUGAUAACGUUAAUACCCUUAUCAAUUGACGUUACCCGCAGAACAAACACCGGCUAACUCCGUGCCAUCAGCCGCGGUAAUACGGAUGGUGCAAGCGUUAAUCGGAAUUACUGGGCGUAUAGCGCACGCAGGCGGUCAAUUAAGUCACAUGUGAAAGCCCCGAGCUUAACUUGGGAAUUGCAUCUGAGACUGGUUGGCUAGAGUCUUGUGAGGGGGGUAGAAUUCCAUGUGU
rnacentral:rRNA from 1 species